rnacentral:tRNA from 1 species
UGGGGCUAUAGCUCAGUUGGUAGAGCACUUGCAUGGCAUGCAAGGGGUCAGCGGUUCGACUCCGCUUAGCUCCACCAC